GAUGGACGCUAGCGGCAGGCUUAAUACAUGCAAGUCGAGGGACAGCACAGGUAGCAAUACUGGGUGGUAACCGGCAAACGGGUGCGGAACACGUACACAACCUUCCUUUAAGUGGGGGAUAGCCCAGAGAAAUUUGGAUUAAUACCCCGUAAUAUAGUUGAAUGGCAUCAUUUGAUUAUUAUAGCUACGGCGCUUAAUGAUGGGUGUGCGGCUGAUUAGAUAGUUGGCGGGGUAACGGCCCAACAAGUCUACGAUCAGUAGCUGAUUUGAGAGCAUGAUCGGCCACAGGGGACCUGAGAGAGGGGCCGGACUCCUACGGGAGGCAGCAGUAAGGAAUAUUGGUCAAUGGACGAAAGUCUGAACCAGCCAUGCCGCGUGAAGGAUUAAGGUCCUCUGGAUUGUAAACUUCUUUUAUUUGGGACGAAAAAGGGCCUUUCUAGGUCAACUGACGGUACCAGAUGAAUAAGCACCGGCUAACUCCGUGCCAGCAGCCGCCGUAA
rnacentral:rRNA from 1 species